GUAGGGAAUCUUCCACAAUGGACGAAAGUCUGAUGGAGCAACGCCGCGUGAGUGAAGAAGGUCUUCGGAUCGUAAAACUCUGUUGUUAGAGAAGAACGUGCAUGAUAGUAACUGAUCAUGUAAUGACGGUAUCUAACCAGAAAGCCACGGCUAACUACGUGCCAGCAGCCGCGGUAAUACGUAGGUGGCAAGCGUUGUCCGGAUUUAUUGGGCGUAAAGGGAACGCAGGCGGUUUUUUAAGUCUGAUGUGAAAGCCUUCGGCUUAACCGAAGAAUAGCAUUGGAAACUGGAAGACUUGAGUGCAGAAGAGGAGGGUGGAAUUCCAUGUGUAGCGGUGAAAUGCGUAGAUAUAUGGAGGAACACCAGUGGCGAAAGCGGCUCUCUGGUCUGUAACUGACGCUGAGGUUCGAAAGCGUGGGUAGCAAACAGGAUUAGAAACCCCAGUAGUCC
rnacentral:rRNA from 1 species